CUCCAAAGCUGAUUAUUCAGUCUUCAAAGAACAUUGCAAGGUUGAAAAAUUACAGUUUUCUUUAGGGGAACAAGAGUAUGACUGUCAGAUCAAGAAUUCAAAUUUAGUAUUAGUUGCUUUCUUCUUUCUCAGCCAGUUCCCUCAGAACUGAGAGAUGGCUUAUCCUAACCUCUGAAAACCCUUUUUGGCUUUUUUAAUUUGUGUUCCCAUAAGGGACUUUCUUUAAAAAGAAUUGUUGCUUUCUGAGACACUGUUUAUUCUUCUCAGGGUCUGUAAAAUCUACAAUUUUUUCAUGUUAAUUGCUCUUGAGGUUCUCACUUUACUCAGAAAUAUUAAUUAGGCUUCUUUCACUAAUGCCCUCCGGCUUCUCUGCCACAGUCUUGGAAUAGGAACUUCCACAUUGUAUUUAAGCAGAGAAUAAAACAUUGAUUUAACAUAAGCUCUUUUUAUGCUGCCAUCUUCUUAUUUGUAGUCGGAAGAUUGGGGGACAUGCUGAUAAGAAUAUACUUAAGCUACAAAGUAUACUUUAGUAUACUUUGAAUGGCCUAGACUGAUGUUAGGUGAGAUUUUAAACAGGGAAAUUUAAAAUGCUGUUUUCUGGGAGUAGCUUGUUGCAUAGGAACCUCUGCUGCAGACAGUUCCUUUGGGUGUUAUAUAUUCUUUAUAUACACAUGGAUAACUUCAAAUUGCAGUGUCACAAGUGGCAUCAUUGAAUCAAUGCCACUUACCAUGUGCAUGAGCUUAUAUUGGUUUGGCUUGCUCGCCAAAUGAGUCAGAAACCAUAAUAUUGCAGCCUGUGGAAGUCCAGACUGAAACUGAUGUGACACCGCUUUUUGUUGAUGUUAAAACACCUUGCUUAGAAAGCAGUUGCCACUGGUAUCAGGGAAUGACUUCCAUGUUUCAUUCACCCAGCCGCUUGGAGUCAUUGGAAUCACACAGAUUAAUAAUUUCUCCAGUGCUGUGUUUAAGGACAUGCUCCGCAAGACAAAUCACAGACAGAGAUUUUGCAAUGGAAGUAAUGAAACCAAGAAUGUCUUUCUGUGUGAAGUAAGAAAUUCCUGAAAAGAACUGAAAUAUGUUGUUCAGCUUGUCGCUGGAGCUUCAGGAGUGAAUUACAAUGCCUACAAAAUGUGCAUAGAGAAUGCAGCUGGAAUGCAAAGCACCAGUAAAUUACUACUUGUAUAUAGCAAAAUAAUGCACUUAAAAACAAAGUACUUGCAGCAUUUCUUUUUAUCUGCUGAUGUCUGCCUUCAGAGACAUCUUACAUCUGCAAAUAGCUUUAUCUGAUCGUCGUGAAUGGGGCUGAUACCAUCUCUGAACUCUUCCAUGGGUGAAAACCUAUUUAAAGAUUUUCAGAAUGUCUAUUUUAGAGAUAAUAUGUUGCACAUUUAAUACAGUUUUAGUUCCUUCA